GCAGACGUAGGCCAAUGGUAGGCCGCCGGCUUCACGCGCCGGAGAUUGCGGGUUCGAUUCCCGCCAUCUGCA
rnacentral:tRNA from 1 species